rnacentral:rRNA from 1 species
UUUAGAUCCUGGACUCAGAAUCGAACGCUGGCGGCGUGCCUAACACAUGCAAGUCGAACGCGAAAGGGGAGCAAUCCCUGAGUAGAGUGGCAAACGGGUGAGGUAACACGUGGGUGACCUGCCUUCGAGUGGGGGAUAAACGUCCCGAAAGGGACGCUAAUACCGCAUGACAUCCUGCUUUUGGAAAAGCGGAGAUCAAAGCUGGGGACCGCAAGACCUGGCGCUUGAAGAGGGGCCCGCGCCUGAUUAGCUAGUUGGUGGGGUAAUGGCUCACCAAGGCGACGAUCAGUAUCCGGCCUGAGAGGGCGGACGGACGACACUGGGACUGAGACACGGCCCAGACUCCUACGGGAGGCAGCAGUGGGGAAUUGUUCGCAAUGGGCGCAAGCCUGACGACGCAACGCCGCGUGGAGGACGAAGAUCUUCGGGUCGUAAACUCCUGUCGAGUGGGAAGAACGCUUCGCGGAUGAAUAAGCCGCGAAAAAUGACGGUACCGCUAAAGGAAGCCCCGGCUAACUCCGUG